rnacentral:rRNA from 1 species
UACGUAGGGUGCAAGCGUUAAUCGGAAUUACUGGGCGUAAAGCGUGCGCAGGCGGUUAUGCAAGACAGAUGUGAAAUCCCCGGGCUCAACCUGGGAACUGCAUUUGUGACUGCAUGGCUAGAGUGCGGCAGAGGGGGAUGGAAUUCCGCGUGUAGCAGUGAAAUGCGUAGAUAUGCGGAGGAACACCGAUGGCGAAGGCAGCUCACUACACGAAUAUUGACACUGAGGCACGAAAGCGUGGGGAUCAAACAGG